CAGUCGCCGCGGUAAUACGUAGGGUGCAAGCGUUAAUCGGAAUUACUGGGCGUAAAGCGUGCGCAGGCGGUUAUAUAAGUCAGAUGUGAAAUCCCCGGGCUCAACCUGGGAACUGCAUUUGAGACUGUAUGGCUAGAGUGUGUCAGAGGGGGGUAGAAUUCCACGUGUAGCAGUGAAAUGCGUAGAUACGCGGAGGAACACCGAUGGCGGAGGUAAUCCCCUGGACCUGUACUGACGCUCAUGCACGAAAGCGUGGGGAGCAAGCAGGAUUAGAUACCCGCGUAGUCCCUGUCUCUUAUAC
rnacentral:rRNA from 1 species